rnacentral:lncRNA from 1 species
CACACAUACACCAUACAUGGCCUGCCACACCUGCCAUGCCACACAUACACCACAUGCCACACCACACAUACACUACAGAUGCCACAACACACAUACACAUGCCACAUCACACAUAUACCACACAUGCCAUGCCACACAUAUACCACAGAUGCCACACCACACAUAUACAUGUCACACCACACAUAUACCACACAUGCCCUGCCACACAUGCACCACACAUGCCCUGCCAUACAUAUACCUCACAUGCUUGCCGCUUUCUUUCCUAUCUGUUCCCUGCAUGAGAAGUCACCACCAUAGAGAACACAUUAUUUCAGACGAUCUUAAAUUCUACUCCACUUAGCUCACCACAUCUCAGCUCAUCUUUCCAGUCUCAUCUUUUGUUACAGUGACAGACAGGGCUGUCAUCAUAAGCUGACCUAAGAUGUUCUUUUCUUCAUCCUCCCCCAUCCUGUUUCAGUCUCUCUUAGAGAAGUCCUCUGCUUUCAGUGACAUGCCUCUCAUUAAGGACCCAGUACACCCUCUUCAGCUAUCUCCUAGCUGCUGCCCAUAUCUGCCCACCUUCUCAGAAGUUUGGAAAAGACCAUUUAUAGACUCAAGGUUUCUACUUAUCUUUCAGCCUCCUCUCAUGCUGCCAUGGUCCCUACAGGAUCUUUUGGGAGCAGGUCGGUACUUCCAAAGCCCAAUUUUGACUUGGGUGAUUUCACUUUUGUUCCGACCCUAAGUGACCUUGUAUUUUCCUUUACUCUGUAUCCUGCUCCUUAAUAUCGAAACUGCCGAAGUUUCAGCUUAUCACUCCUCUUUACCCAUGAUGCUU